GACGUAGGGUCCGAGCGUUGUCCGGAAUUAUUGGGCGUAAAGGGCUCGUAGGCGGUUGGUCACGUCGGGAGUGAAAACUCAGGGCUCAACCCUGAGCGUGCUUCCGAUACGGGCCGACUAGAGGUAUGCAGGGGAGAACGGAAUUCCUGGUGUAGCGGUGGAAUGCGCAGAUAUCAGGAGGAACACCGGUGGCGAAGGCGGUUCUCUGGGCAUUACCUGACGCUGAGGAGCGAAAGCAUGGGGAGCGAACAGG
rnacentral:rRNA from 1 species